GAAGAGCUGCAAGGACCAAAGACAGGGGCAUUAACAGGAGUGACUGCAGCACCAUUCAAUGCUAAUAAAUAGCAUGUCAGUAACAAAAUUAAAGUACAGAGGAUUAUAAAAUGGUUGGAUGCCCAGAUUUUAAGGAGAUAUAUACUGCAGAGCAUAGCUCGUCAAUUGACAGAAGCCAAAUAGUUUCAGAGGCAUUCCAAUUGCUACAUCUGACCAAUGAGCAUAGAAAAUUUCACAAUAAUUGCAUUUUUCAGACAUCAUCAGCAAACUUUUUUUCCAAGAAAAUGCCACAAAUCCCCAGGACUUACCAAACACAUCCU
rnacentral:misc_RNA from 1 species